rnacentral:rRNA from 1 species
AUUGAACGCUGGCGGAAUGCUUUACACAUGCAAGUCGAACGGCAGCACGGACUUCGGUCUGGUGGCGAGUGGCGAACGGGUGAGUAAUAUAUCGGAACGUGCCCAGUCGUGGGGGAUAACGUAGUGAAAAUUACGCUAAUACCGCAUACGAUCUAUGGAUGAAAGCGGGGGAUCGCAAGACUUCGCGCGAUUGGAGCGGCCGAUAUCAGAUUAGGUAGUUGGUGAGGUAAAGGCUCACCAAGCCGACGAUCUGUAGCUGGUCUGAGAGGACGACCAGCCACACUGGAACUGAGACACGGUCCAGACUCCUACGGGAGGCAGCAGUGGGGAAUUUUGGACAAUGGACGCAAGUCUGAUCCAGCCAUUCCGCGUGCAGGACGAAGGCCUUCGGGUUGUAAACUGCUUUUGUACAGAACGAAAAGGUCUCUAUUAAUACUAGGGGCUCAUGACGGUACUGUAAGAAUAAGCACCGGCUAACUACGUGCCAGCCGCCGCGGUAAAAC